AUAGUUUUCCUGAGAAUUUCCAUGCAUGCAAUUUUGAUUCUGUCUGCUAGCAUGUUUGUAUUACAGCAUGAAUUUCAUAGAUUAGAGGCUCCAUGAAGGUACAUUCUGUCGUUGAAUGUCUAUGAGAUGGUUAAGCAGGUUGACUGUAUCUAGUUACAACUCCUCAUGUCCUGUGGCAGUUACGUUUGUGUGGUUUGGUGCUGUCAGUGUAAGCUUAACAUUUCUUUCCUUCUCCCAGGAAGGACACAAGCAUUGAGGAGCCAUUUGACCUGCCACUACACUGAUACGGUAUUUGGCAAAGGCAGGAGGCAUCUGCAAGCAACCAAUCAUUCCGAUUCUCAACCAAUCCUUCUAGUCAGCCCAUUUCUAGUGUCUUAUCUUGCAAGUUUUUUUCAGUAAAGCACAAUAAACACG